CACCAGGCGCGAAAACUUUACAAUGCUGGCAACAGCGAUAAGGGGACCUCGAGUGCCAGGAUACAAUCUUGGCUGUCGUGAUGCCUAAAAAGCAUUGCAUAGCAAGGGCCGGGCAAGACCGGUGCCAGCCGCCGCGGUAACACCGGCGGCUCGAGUGGUAACCGCUAUUAUUGGGUCUAAAGGGUCUGUAGCCGGCCGGAUAAGUCUCUUGGGAAAUCCAGCAGCUCAACUGUUGGGCUUUCAGGAGAUACUGUUCGGCUCGAGACCGGGAGAGGUGAGAGGUACUUCAGGGGUAGGGGUGAAAUCUUGUAAUCCUUGAAGGACCACCAGUGGCGAAGGCGUCUCACCAGAACGGAUCUGACGGCAAGGGACGAAAGCUAGGGGCACGAACCGGAUUAGAUACCCGGGUAGUCCUAGCCGUAAACGAUACUCGCUAGGUGUCGGCCACGGUGCGACCGUGGUCGGUGCCGUAGGGAAGCCGUGAAGCGAGCCACCUGGGAAGUACGGCCGCAAGGCUGAAACUUAAAGGAAUUGGCGGGGGAGC
rnacentral:rRNA from 1 species